AUACGGAGGGUGCAAGCGUUACUCGGAAUCACUGGGCGUAAAGCGCGCGCAGGCGGGCUGAUAAGUUGGAUGUGAAAGCCUACGGCUCAACCGUAGAACUGCAUCCAAAACUGUCAGUCUAGAGUGUGAGAGAGGAAGAUGGAAUUAGUUGUGUAGGGGUAAAAUCCGUAGAGAUAACUAGGAAUACCAAAAGCGAAGGCAAUCUUCUGGAACACUACUGACGCUGAGGCGCGAAGGCGUGGGGAGCAAACAGAAUUAGAAACCCGAGUAGUCC
rnacentral:rRNA from 1 species